GCGGGCGCCCCUGCCCCAGCCUCGCUGCCGCCUUGCAGUUUGAUCUCAGACUGCUGUGCUAGCAAUCAGCGAGACUCCAUGGGCGUAGGACCCUCUGAGCCAGAGGCUGAGUAGUCUCAAGAUCUGAAGACAGCAGAAACCUGGGAAAGUUAAUGAUAUACGUUGUUAUACUCCAAGUGUGAGUCUGAAGACAAGGGAAGACCAACGUCCAAGCUUGAAGACAGUCAGAUAGAAUCAUUCUGCAGCCUGGCUAAGGAUGAAGAUAACUGAUAAACUAUUAUAUAC
rnacentral:lncRNA from 1 species